UACGGGGGGGGCAAGCGUUGUUCGGAAUUACUGGGCGUAAAGGGCUCGUAGGCGGCCAACUAAGUCAGACGUGAAAUCCCUCGGCUUAACCGGGGAACUGCGUCUGAUACUGGAUGGCUUGAGUUUGGGAGAGGGAUGCGGAAUUCCAGGUGUAGCGGUGAAAUGCGUAGAUAUCUGGAGGAACACCGGUGGCGAAGGCGGCAUCCUGGACCAACACUGACGCUGAGAAGCGAAAGCCAGGGGAGCAAACGGG
rnacentral:rRNA from 1 species